CAAGCGCGAUCUUGUCUGAUCCCGGAAGCUAAGCAGGGUCGAGCCUGUUUAGCACUUGAAUGGGAGACCACCUAGGAAGACCAGGUGCUGUAGGCG
rnacentral:rRNA from 1 species